rnacentral:lncRNA from 1 species
GUCUCCGAAGGGCUGACAUGGACUCCCACGUCCUCCUGGCGAUCCUACUGUUCUGCUCCGCAGGAGCAGCCUCUUCACCUGAGGUCACCUUGAAGUCGGUUCAUGUGGGGGAUGCCGUCACACUGCCCGUGACCCUUCCCAAGGGCCAGAGGCUCACCAACCUCCUCCUGAGGGACUCCUUGAGAAAACAAGCCAUCGCCAUCUGGAUGGAGUCCAAAAUGAUCACGAUUCUAGACAUUGACUACGCCAACCGGGUGGCCUUCCAGGAAGACCAGAUGGCCUUCAGAAUUGCCAACCUCAGCUUGGGCGACGGGACCACCUACGAAAUCUCCACCAGCUUCAGCACUUCCACACCAAAACUGCUCAGCAGCUUUCUGGUGGCUGUAUUCAGUAAGGAAUCUCCUUGCGUGGCAGAUAAGUAGCAGUCGCAUGUAGACGGUCCCUCCACUCAGGCUGCCCUGAGGGAGAGGAGGAAGCGGAGAGGUAUUGGAAAGUUGGAGAAGGCAGGACUUGGCGUAAGGGACAAACUUAAGUGAUCUCCAGGAAAUCAAGUCCCUUUGACUUCCACAUUUCUCCUUGUUUGCCCAUUUCUUGACUGUUAACGCAUGAAACGUUGAUAGGAGGCCGGGGGGCGGAGCGGGUGUCACACUGCUUUCGGCUGAGCUAGGGGAUGUUCUUAAAAGACAAGCCUUGGUUGGUCUGAUUUUCAGAUCUCUUGGCUGGACUGAGUGACCUCUCUGGCCGAAUCCUCGCCCCGUUAGGUUAGUGCUUUGAGCAGCAGUUUCGCUGCUCAAUUUUUUUCUUCCGUGGAACUUUCAGUUCCUCAGUCACAUAUUGUGAGUUUGUGCAAGACAGGCAGAAGUUGUGGUGUAGCCUGUUCCAAAAGCUGAUUCAUUUUGCUGCACAGCUAGAAAACUAUUCUGCGUUCGAGGGAAGGAAGAUUCUGCUUCCCUGGAAAGGUCCAGGGGGUUAGGCUGGAUGGCCUCAAGGGUCCCUUCCUGCUUCAGAAUCCUAGGUCUUCUCUCCUGCUCCUUCUGAAUUGCACCCCUCCUGUCUUUCCUGCCAGACAUCACCGAAAGGGUCUCCUCCUUGGGGAAUGAUUCCUGCCACAUUUAUCUGGACUGUCAGGCAGGGAUGGGGCGCGGUCAGAGAGUGACCUACACCUGGAAGGACACCGAGGCCGGCACCACCCUGAGCCAGGUGGCCUGGCUCACUCAGCUGGUGCACCGCAACCAGAGGAAGGCCUACACCUGCAUGGCCCAGACCUCUACCGCCCAGAGCUCCUUCAGCCUCGUCCUCCAGCACUCCUGUAUUCCCAACACUGCAAGUCCAGGUAAAAGGCAGAACCUGCCCAAGACGCCUCCCCCCCCCCCCCCCCGUGGCUGAGCCAAGCCACUUGCAGCUGGCAAAGACUUUUCCGCA